GCUGUUUUUGCAGCUGGUUUCAUAUCUCAGCCUCUGGAUCUCAAUGUGGCUUGGUUUGGUCUAGAGCUCCUGCAGCAUGUUGCAUGAACAGGAGAAAUGCACAGGUCUGCUGUUUGGGAUCAUUUCUUUCCAGAAGGGUUUGAGGAGAUUGUGCGGGUAUGGAUAUCUGAUGCUGUGGAUCUGCUGUGUAUGGUUCUUUGCACAUGCUGUGAAGGCAGGAUCUGAAGAUCAGAAGAGAUUCAUGGAGAUCGAGGGCUGAGGAUCAUUGCAGAUAUUCUCACUUCGGCAUCAGCAGUUGGGUUUUGAGAAGAUUGGUUGCGCCAUCUCUUGCAACAAGAAUUUGCUUCAAAGAAUCGCACUUUCGUCAUUUGUUUUUGGAGUGAAGCCCAACCAAAAAUAGCAACAACCUCAAGUGUCUGGAUGCCUCAUUUACAGUGGAACAAGCAUUUCUUCUGAAUUUGCUUUUGGAGACCAUAAAUCAGCAAAUAGACGGGAUUAACAUUUCCAAUGAUAUUGCACUCUUGAUUCUUGAAAUUCUCUAGAAUGCUUCUACAGUUGUUGAUUCUAUCUCCAGAGGCCAGUCAGCUCUGCCAACGGGCUCUCCUACAAUCAAUGUCCUUGGAUUCUUUCUUAACAAUUUGAGAGAUCUAUGUGCCCAAUGAGGAUCCAAAUGAGUCAUCAUCAAUGCUUGCUAUGGGAGGCUCCCAAACAGAAGGUUUAAUGCUUAUUGUCGAUUUACUGUUACGUUCAGGCCUACUUUGUUGUUACAUUUGCUUCAUGAGCUGGAGCCCCUGGGAAUCAUUAGAAAAUCCAGGAAACAGGAAGAGAAUCAAGGAAAGGACUGCCCUUACAUAGGCUACCAUAGAGAUAUAGUUGCCGUUGUUGGGAAUUGCACUUUCAGAAGGAAGCGAAUGCAAGAUGAAAUUAGACAGCAGAACGGGAUUCUGUUGCUAAUGCAACAAUGCCUUGUUGACACGGACAAUCCAUUCUUGAGAGAAUGGAGCAUAUGGGAAGUGGGAAAUUUACUCAAGGGAAAUAUCGACAAUGAGUGACGAGUAGCUUAAAUGGAGCUUCAAGGUCCGUUAAUACCCCUGAAAUAUCUGGAUUAGGUCUACAACUGGAGGUAGACCAGAAGACCCAAUGUGCAAAGCUAGUCAACAUCUCUUGAUGCAAGAUUCCAAGCCCGAGAAAAUUUUUGAGCACAAUGCAUUCCUGGAUUGGGACUAUGAGUGGAGGACUAGAAGACCAAUGUGCAAAGCUAGUCAACAUCUCUUGAUGCAUGACUCCUAGCCUGAGAAGAAUUUUGAGCACAGUGCGUCUUACAUGUAUGAUGAGAACUAGAAAAUCUGAAGGACUGUGGAGUCCAGGUCUUUAUAUUAGAAUGAGUUAUCUGAGGGAUCAUUGGAAAACCUAAUGUCAUUGCCACCACCGCCACUGUCAUUGUAGUUGUCUAUUUUCGGAUGGCUGUGGAAAACUUUGUUAUUUCAUUUGUAAUUUGUAGAAAGACUAAGAAAUUACAUUCUAGCACAGGCUGCGUUUGGUUGCACCAAAUACCAUAAUUCAUGAUAAUUUGGACCAAAUUAGAUUGAUUGGUUCUUGUAAUUGGUGCACUCAAGCACAACUUUUUAGUGUUGGGAAGAAUCCAUGUAAUUAUAUUUUGGAUUAGGGUAGAAAUGAACCUGAAUGAUUCUAGUUUUGGUUGAUGUUGAAAAGAGAAUUGAUGCAUGUAACUACAUUUUCCAACAAGGGAACUCAUGUAUAAAAUGUUUUUCAUUUCAUAGCUUUGAUUA